rnacentral:rRNA from 1 species
AUUGAACGCUGGCGGAAUGCUUUACACAUGCAAGUCGAGCGGCAGCGCGGGGGCAACUCUGGCGGCGAGCGGCGAACGGGUGAGUAAUACAUCGGAACGUACCUAGUUGUGGGGGACAACACAUCGAAAGAUGUGCUAAUACCGCAUACGACCUACGGGUGAAAGGGGGGGAUCGCAAGACCUUUCGCAGUUGGAGCGGCCGAUGGCGGAUUAGCUAGUUGGUGAGGUAAAGGCUCACCAAGGCGACGAUCCGUAGCUGGUCUGAGAGGACGACCAGCCACACUGGGACUGAGACACGGCCCAGACUCCUACGGGAGGCAGCAGUGGGGAAUUUUGGACAAAGGGGGCAACCCUGAUCCAGCCAUUCCGCGUGAGUGAAGAAGGCCUUCGGGUUGUAAAGCUCUUUCGGCAGGAACGAAACGGUGGGGGCUAAUAUCCUUCAUCAAUGACGGUACCUGAAGAAGAAGCACCGGCUAACUACGUGCCAGCCGCCGCAGUAA